AACGUAGGAGGCAAGCGUUAUCCGGAAUUACUGGGCGUAAAGCGCGUGUAGGCGGACGACCAAGUCAUUUGUGAAAGCUCCUGGCUAAACUGGGAGAGGUCGAAUGAGACUGGUGGUCUGGAGUGCGGAAGAGGGGUGCGGAAUUCCGGGUGUAGUGGUGAAAUGCGUAGAUAUCCGGAGGAACACCAGUGGCGAAGGCGGCACCCUGGUUCGUGACUGACGCUAAGACGCGAAAGCAUGGGGAGCGAACGGG
rnacentral:rRNA from 1 species